UGUUUUCGGUCACAUACACGUCGUAGACCGGCUGGCUAAACCGCGGUGCGUUGUCGUUCACGUCUGACACUUGGACCUGGAUCGACUUACUGGUGGAGAGCGCAGGCUCGCCCCGGUCCCGAGCCACAACGGUCAGAGUGUAGGAGUCUCCAGCCUCUCGGUCCAGGGGGGCUUCGGUCACGAUAGUAUAGUAGUUCUUGAAGGAAGACUUGAGGCGGAACGGCACAUCCCCCAACAGCUCGCACUGCACUUGCCCGUUCUCCUCGGAGUCGCGGUCGGUCACGCUGAACAGGGCCACCACGGUCCCGGGCGCCGCGCCCUCGCUCACCGCCUCCUUCACGGUGCUGAAGCUGAUCUCCGGCGCGUUGUCGUUAGCAUCCAGGACCCGCACUAGCACCUUGCAGUGCGCGGGCACCGCGUUGGGGCCCAGGUCCUUGGCUUGUACGUACACUUGGUACACCGGGCUCUCUUCAUAGUCUAGCUCUCCGCUCACCUCCAGCCGGCCAGUACGCGGGGACAGUCCAAAGAGCUCCCGCGCCCGGGGCGAAAUGUGGCUGCUGAAAGAAUACACGACUUCGCCAUUCUGGCCCUCAUCUGGGUCUGUGGCGUUGAGCUGGAUUACGAGCGUGCCGGGCGGCGAGUUCUCUGGUAGAGACACAGUGUAGACGGGUUGGUCGAAGGCGGGGACAUUGUCGUUGGAGUCCAACACUCGGAUGGACGGUCCCUCGUGACUUCCUGGUAAUGAAUGACCCGAGAGUAACACCAACACAACCUUCGAGAAAAGGCGGACCAUUUCCCCAAGCCCGAGAUCUGCAGGACUGAAAUGAAAUAUUUUGAGUUCUUCCAGCUGACUCAUCAGAAUCCUGGAGCACUUUAAAAAAUGACGAUAUAGAGAGAGUGCCAGUACGUGCACAUGCAGAGAGGGCGGAGGAGAGACUCUGUUGGCACAGAGCCCAACGUGGGCCUGAACUCAUGAACCCGGAGAUCAUGACCUAAGCAGAGAUCAAGAGUCUCCCUUUAACUGACUCAACCACCAAAUGCCCCUCCAUGGGAAGAUGUACACAGAAGUAUCCUAGAUUUGGAAGCAGAGAACCAGAAAUCUGGGUGAAU